rnacentral:rRNA from 1 species
UACGAAGGGGGCUAGCGUUGUUCGGAAUUACUGGGCGUAAAGGGCUGGUAGGCGGCCAACUAAGUCGGAUGUGAAAUCCCCAGGCUUAACCUGGGAACUGCAUCCGAUACUGGUCGGCUUGAAUCCGGGAGAGGGAUGCAGAAUUCCAGGUGUAGCGGUGAAAUGCGUAGAUAUCUGGAGGAACACCGGUGGCGAAGGCGGCAUCCUGGACCAACACUGACACUGAGGAGCGAAAGCCAGGGGAGCAAACGGG